rnacentral:rRNA from 1 species
GAUGAACGCUAGCUACAGGCUUAACACAUGCAAGUCGAGGGGAAACGGCAUUAAGUGCUUGCACUUUUUGGACGUCGACCGGCGCACGGGUGAGUAACGCGUAUCCAACCUGCCCCUUACCAGGGAAUAACCCGUUGAAAGACGGACUAAUGCCCUAUGCAGUCCUUUGACGGCAUCAGAUUAGGACUAAAGAUUCAUCGGUAUGGGAUGGGGAUGCGUCUGAUUAGCUUGUUGGCGGGGUAACGGCCCACCAAGGCAUCGAUCAGUAGGGGUUCUGAGAGGAAGGUCCCCCACAUAGGAACUGAGACACGGUCCUAACUCCUACGGGAGGCAGCAGUGAGGAAUAUUGGUCAAUGGGCGCUAGCCUGAACCAGCCAAGUAGCGUGCAGGACGACGGCCCUAUGGGUUGUAAACUGCUUUUAUGCGGGGAUAAAGUCACCCACGGGUGGGUGUUUGCAGGUACCGCAUGAAUAAGGACCGGCUAAUUCCGUG